GGACUACAGGGGUUUCUAAUCCCGUUUGCUCCCCUGGCUUUCGCGCCUCAGCGUCAGUAAAGGUCCAGCGCGCUGCUUUCGCCAUCGGUGUUCCUUCCGAUAUCUACGCAUUUCACCGCUCCACCGGAAGUUCCGCACGCCCCUACCUCCCUCGAGACAAUCAGUAUCAGAGGCUGUUCCACGGUUGAGCCGUGGGAUUUCACCCCUGACUUGACCGCCCGCCUACGCGCCCUUUAAGCCCAGUGAUUCCGAACAACGUUUGCACGGUUCGUCUUACCGCGGCUGCUGGCAC
rnacentral:rRNA from 1 species